UUUUUAUUAAAUAAUUAAUUAUUUUAAAAUUUUAAUUAAAAUUAAUAGAUUUAUUUAGAUCUGGCAAUCGCUGUCCGUGGAUUAUUCACAAAUUUACGAGUAUGAAUAUUAAUUUUUUAUAAUCCAAAAAAUUAUGGAUAAAUGGGUGAGUACCUGUUAAGUUAUAAACAUUUUGAACAAAUCACGGUAUCUUUGAGUACCAGCACAUGUUUUUUAAUUAAAAAAUAUAUAAUUCUCGAGAUAUCGAUUUUAUUACCAUGAAAAUUUUCAUUAUUUUUGUAUUAUGAAAAUAUAGAAUAUUAAAAUAUUUUUAUACUAUGUAAUUUAUAUAUUUUAAGAUUUUAAAUUAUUUAUUAUAUAUUAUGAUUUUUAAAUAAUAAAUUAUGUUAUAUUUUUAAAAACUAUGUAUAUGUAUUUUAAAUUUAAAAAGUAUAGGAACAAAAAAAAACUCGCGGGUAAACCACAUACCGACUACCCCGCCCGUGAGCUGGUAUGGAUAAAAAUAUUAACUACACAAAAAUUCACGAAUAGAUUUAUUCGUAGCCAUAUGAUCUGCGGGUACAAUGGUCAGCUUAUGUAUUUAUUCAAUCCGUACAUUUGACAUGUCUAAAUUUAUUAACUAGAGUGUUAGUCAGUUAUUAAUGAAACCCUCGUACAACUGGUAACAAAAUUAAUGUUUAAUAAUAAAAAAUUCAAUUGAAUCAAAUAUACAUAAAUAAAAAAUAAAGAAGUUCACGAGGAUUUUCUUUUUUUUUUGGAAAAACUUCAAAUAUCAUCCCGUGGUUUUAUAUUUUCUCACUUUAGUACCCUAUGUAUUAAAAUGUAUCAAUUUAGUGCCCUGUGGUUUUAUUUUUACCUUUUUAUUAUCCAUUUCACUAAUUGUUUUGUUAAAUCGAUGAUAAAGUUAAAACUAAAGUAUGCUAAAAUAAAUAUUCGAUAAAUCUAGAUGGAAUAUCUGAAAUUUUUUAUAUAUAAUUUAAUAAAAUAUUAACGAAAAAAUUUAUGAAUAGAUAAAAAUAAAAUCACAGAAAACUAAAUUAAUAUACUUUAAGCUAUAUGAUACUAAAGUGAAAAAAUACGAACCACUUGGGUGGUAUUUUGAAAUUUAUUUUUUUAUUUUUUUUGGGGG
rnacentral:lncRNA from 1 species